rnacentral:lncRNA from 1 species
AACCAAGUUUUUCACCCAUUUGAGCUUUGGAUCUUUAAACCAAUAGGAUUUAUCUAUAAAUUGGGUUUAUUGCAUAAAUAAGCUAUCCCACAAUUUUUUUGGAUAUUUAUUGGAGUUGAAAAACUAUUUUAUUUAAAUAGUUAUAAAGCCCUAAAGACAUUUAUAGGGCAAAUGUAUUUUUAUAUAAUUUAUUUUGAGGGGAUAUUACUCCUAAAAGUUGAAUCAUGCUAUAAUAUGAUUUUACAAAUUUUCUAGGAUUUAUUUGGAUCAAUUUGGAGUUCAAAAUCAAAAGAUAUCAAAGAAAUCAAAAAAAGGAAAAAGGAAAAGAAAAAAAAAGAGAAAACCGGACCGGCCCGGCCAAUUGGGCCGAACCGGCACUGUCCCGACUGCGCGCAAACCGACCGAGCCAGACCGGCCCAGCGAGCCAGGAGCCACCGACAGGUGGGCCCCACCUGUUGGGGUCGUCUUCCCCGCAAGGAAACCCCCGCACGUCACGCCACCCGACCCGCGCGCGCUCGUCUCGCCGCCGACGCCGCCCCGUCCCCUCCCGUGCUCCCCGCAACCUUCCAAGCGCGUCAUUAUAAAGCCGCAGCCCCCCUCUCUCAUUUCCCCCUCUGCUCCCCCUCGAUUGUGCGCCCACACUGCCGGAAUUUGUCGCCGUCACUCGCCGUCGCCCGCCGCCGACCUUAGCUCACCGCCAACCACUCGGUACGUCAUGGUUGACGCGACCUCAUCUCUCCUUCUCCUCUCUUCCUUGCUGAAAAACUGACGCGCUCCAUUUCGUUUUUCGCGCACCGCAGUACCUCGCCCGACGCCGCCCGGAGCUCCGCCGCCUUCGCGUCGUCCUAGGCGUCCACGCCGGCGUCCCCGAGCCUCGCCGACCCCGUCCCCGUCUCCGCCUCGACGCCCCCCGCACGCUUCCCCGAUGCCCG